GACGAACGCUGGCGGCGUGCCUAACACAUGCAAGUCGAGCGAAUGAAGUUCCUUCGGGAAUGGAUUUAGCGGCGGACGGGUGAGUAACACGUGGGCAACCUGCCUCAUAGAGGGGAAUAGCCUUCCGAAAGGGAGAUUAAUACCGCAUAAGAUUGUAGUAUCGCAUGAUACAGCAAUUAAAGGAGCAAUCCGCUAUGAGAUGGGCCCGCGGCGCAUUAGCUAGUUGGUGAGGUAACGGCUCACCAAGGCGACGAUGCGUAGCCGACCUGAGAGGGUGAUCGGCCACAUUGGGACUGAGACACGGCCCAGACUCCUACGGGAGGCAGCAGUGGGGAAUAUUGCACAAUGGGGGAAACCCCGAUGCAGCAACGCCGCGUGAGUGAUGACGGCCUUCGGGUUGUAAAGCUCUGUCUUCAGGGACGAUAAUGACGGUACCUGAGGAGGAAGCCACGGCUAACUACGUG
rnacentral:rRNA from 1 species